rnacentral:rRNA from 1 species
AACGAACGCUGGCGGCAUGCCUAACACAUGCAAGUCGAACGAGACCUUCGGGUCUAGUGGCGCACGGGUGCGUAACGCGUGGGAACCUGCCCUUAGGUUCGGAAUAACUCCCCGAAAGGGGUGCUAAUACCGGAUAAUGUCUUCGGACCAAAGAUUUAUCGCCUUUGGAUGGGCCCGCGUUGGAUUAGCUAGUUGGUAGGGUAAAAGCCUACCAAGGCGACGAUCCAUAGCUGGUCUGAGAGGAUGAUCAGCCACACUGGGACUGAGACACGGCCCAGACUCCUACGGGAGGCAGCAGUGGGGAAUAUUGGACAAUGGGCGAAAGCCUGAUCCAGCAAUGCCGCGUGAGUGAUGAAGGCCUUAGGGUUGUAAAGCUCUUUUACUCGGGAUGAUAACGACAGUACCGGGAGAAUAAGCUCCGGCUAACUCCGUG